rnacentral:misc_RNA from 1 species
CUCACCGGGAUAUUUCUGGUCUUUAUUCGCGCGACUUGUUAGUGCGCGAUCGUACGUGCACCGUUCGUGCGCCGUUCGUGCACCACCUUUUUCUAAUCGCGAUUUUUGUUCUCCUCCUUCACCGAAUGUAAACCCGGAAGAAAUAUGAGCGAGAAGAAACACGUUCCGCCGAGCCGGAAACGACCCGACGACAUUUCGAGAUUGAGAUCGAGGGAACCAAAGAGACCACCCAGAACAAAAGUCAAUCAGUCUCCUGUCUCCGAUCUAGGAUACUCUUCGUCUUCGCGUCUUCCAAUUGUCGCAAAAGAUAGAAAGGAACAUGAGGAAACGAACAAAACUCGAACUCGAGUCAACGAUAGGCGGCCUAUCUCGGAACUUGACUCUAUUAAAGGCGGAAAAACUUCGAUGACGACUCUCGAUGAGAACGUGAAUCCUGUACCACGGGAGUUCCAGACAAUGGAUAAAAUUGAUUACUUGGGAAAGAGAGAACGCAUAGAGACAGUAUCUAUGAACAAUCAAAAUGAAGAUACAACAGAUUUUGGAUAUCCGGUACAAGUGGUACUUGCACAGCCUGACCAUACAUUUGAGUUAGACGAAGAGGCGUUGUCCAAAAUUCUACUUCAUGAUAAUAUAAAAGAUAGAAGUGUCGUCGUCGUGUCCGUGGCAGGUGCAUUCAGGAAAGGCAAAAGUUUUCUACUCGACUUUUUUCUUCGUUAUAUGAACGAUAAGUACAGUAAGGGAAAAAGUUCUGAUUCUUGGUUGGGUAAAGACGAUGAGCCUCUAAAAGGAUUCUCGUGGAGAGGAGGAUCUGAAAGAGAUACUACAGGAAUAUUAAUGUGGUCGCAAGUUUUUCCUGCUACUUUACCCAGUGGAGAAAGAGUUGCUAUAAUACUAAUGGAUACGCAAGGUGCUUUUGAUAGUCAGUCAACUGUCAGAGAUUGUGCUACAGUCUUCGCGUUAAGUACGAUGUUGUCUUCUGUACAAAUUUACAAUUUGUCACAGAAUAUCCAAGAAGAUCAUCUUCAACAUUUACAACUUUUCACCGAAUAUGGUAGACUAGCUUUGGAAAAAUCAGGAAGUACACCCUUUCAAAGUUUGCAGUUCCUAGUAAGAGAUUGGUGUUACCCAUAUGAAGCUGAUUAUGGCGCAGAAGGAGGACAGAAAGUAUUGCAAAGAAGAUUAGAAAUAUCUAAUAAGCAACAUCCAGAAUUACAAAGCUUAAGAAAGCACAUUAAGUCUUGCUUUUCGGAUAUAUCUUGCUUUCUUAUGCCUCAUCCAGGUUUAAAAAUCGCUACAAAUCCCAAAUUUGAUGGUAGACUAUCAGAAAUUGAAUCAGAGUUCAAAGAACAAUUAAAAGUUCUUAUUCCAAUGAUACUAGCACCAGAAAAUUUGGUCACCAAAAAGAUUGAUGGCCAAGUUGUAAAAGCCAGAGAUCUGCUUGAAUAUUUCAAGAGUUAUAUCAAAAUUUAUAAAGGGGAUGAAUUACCGGAACCAAAAAGUAUGCUUGUUGCUACAGCCGAAGCUAAUAAUCUGUCAGCCGUAGCUGAGGCAAAAGAUGUAUAUUUACAGUCGAUGGAAAAUGUUUGUGGAGGAAUUAAACCAUUUUUGGCUACUGCUCUCUUAGAUGCAGAACAUCAGCGGUGCAUGGACAGUGCUAUACGUCACUUCCAAAAUAAACGAAAGAUGGGUGGAGAUGAAUUUAGUCAAAUGUAUAUGGAAAAAUUAAUUAAGGAUAUGGAUGAAGCUUAUCUUCAGUUCAAAGCGCACAAUGAAAGUAAAAACAUUUUCAAAGCAGCACGAACUCCAGCAGUGUUCCUCGUGAUAGCAGUCACUAUGUAUAUUUUAUCUGGUAUAUUUGGACUGGUUGGUUUAUACGGUAUAGCGAAUACAUGCAACAUAAUUUUGGGCAUUGGAUUACUUACAUUCGUUUUUUGGGCAUAUGUAAAGUACAGCGGAGAAUUACACGAAAUGGGUACGCGAAUAGAUGAACUAGCAAAUGCUAUAUGGGAAAACGCCUGGCUAUGCGCUCAUCUUACUUAUAAAAUAAGAUAUCUGAUCCUUCCUAUUAUUAUAACUUUGAUUGCAAUACCUACUUAUAAAUUUAUACAUGCCUAUCUUUAUAAACAUCGCUAUAUCUGAUCCCACGCUUCAUUUCUUUUUUAUAUAUUCAUCAUUUAUCUUUUAUUCAAGUUAAGUUUGCAUAAAUAAAUUUUACCAAUCAUUAAUUAUUAUUGCUUGUGCUUUAGUUUUAAUUUCAUUAUCAAUUUUCUUGUUUGUUUUUCAACGUAUAUUCGUUUGCAAAAACUCUCUUAGCUUAAUUAUAAGUUUUGGUUUAUUUUCUCCUAUAAUAUUCCUUUAAAUUGAGUGCUAACAGGAUGACACUUUUGAAAGUUCAUGAAAGUACUUUAUCAACAAAUUGUGAAGAAGUCAAUUUCUGUAGCAGUGGUGGCGCAGGCCGCUGAAUUGGCAACAAACACGACAAUGAACGCCACUAACACUGCCAAUGGCAAACCAAAAA